UGAUAAAAUGUACAACGUUUUCUUACAUCAUUAUGUGAAGUAAAUAUUGACUUACGAGUGAAAAAAGCAUGGUGGUGUUCCACUAACAUAAUCAGGAUAAUGACAUCUUGUCAUACGCUGAUCGAUUACUUCUGGGAAUAAGUUAUUAUAAUAAUCUGCUAUCAUACGGAAUAGUUCAUUAGAUACACACGGAAUUCACAUUAAGUAAAUAUUGGAAAUGAAGAGGUGAAUCAAAUUGUUAGGAAGAAUAGUAAUAUCUGCAGACAACCUCAUAUGAAGGAGGCAAAUCAAGUAAACAAAACCUCAGAAAAGAAGACUGGUUAUAUCUACAGACCUCCUUAUACGAGGGAAAGGUGGUAAACAAAACGGAAGAAAGGCUGAGAUCACCUCAUACGAUGGAUGCAUAGCUAGUAAACAAAACUUCAAGAAGGCUGGUAAUAUCUGCAGACCUCAUCAUAUGAAGGAGGAGGAUCUCUUUCGUGAUCUUCAAUGUUUUCUGACCAUGAUGCUAGUGGGUGUGAGUCUAAGUCAGAGUUAUCUUGUGUGGUUUCCUGUAAUUGCUGGUCACGCAUUGUUUCUGAAUUGUCAUUUGCAAAUGAUGCGGCCCAUGUUUGUAUGUCGGGAAUAUGACGAACGUCUCUGAUGAUUUCUGAAUUACCCGGACCUUCGUCGCUGGAUUCAGACCCUGUCGGUUGGUCGGCCUUUCUUUGAUAUAUAUUGUUCUGCAUGUAUUGCAUAUUUAUAACUACAAUAAAAAGAAACUUUAUCGGCGAGGAAUUAUAUACUGAUUGUUUCCCACUUUUUUAACUAUUGAGAUGGAUAUAAGUUUAUAAGUGCCAUAUAAAAAGUUAUAUCAGAAUUUUUCGUUUGUAGUUAUUUUUUUUUUUUUUUUUUGCUUAGUCUAUAACCUUAUAUUAAAAAAGAGCAUCACCUUUUCUAGAGAGAGAACACUUCACUACAAACACAAUCUUGUUUGGAAAAACCAUACCUAUAUUUCUAUUGGAGAUAAAACAUGGAUUGUUUAACUAUGCACUAUCGAUUCCCUUAUUCUGAACUGCUGGUUUGCUAAUAAUUGCUCAUAAAGUGUGUUUAAACCAAGUAAAUAGUUUAAAUAUAGUUCUACUAAAAUAUUUUUAAUAGCAAUAAUUUUACUGCAAAAAUACUUGAUGUAAAGCAUGUAUUUGAGAGUAGCAACUGUUUCAAAAUGUUUGUCUCUAAACUAAAAAGAUACAUUUGCUAUUAUAAUUCAAUAGGAGUGUGGAGACAGAACAGUGACAUGUACUAAUAUCGUGUAGAAAUCUCGUUGUAAAGGGUGAUGCACUUUUGCACUUGGUAAGCAAUUGUAAAGCUAUCUCUAAUGUUAUCAAAAGUGGACUUAUAAAAUGUAUAACAACACGGUAUGUAGAUUUACAAAAAAAGUUUUAAAUAAUA